UCUUUUCUUCUAUUAUAUAGUUUGAAAACAAGCAGUAAGACUCCCAACUUUAGCUAUUGUAAAACAAACAAUGACUUUGGAAAGCCAACAAGUAUACAAAAUAGACAACAAGACGCCGAAAGUCGAAAAAAAAUUGUUCGCUCGCGUUAAUCGCUUUGAUCAGCCAAUCAAAACUUGGGACAAAAUGUUCUUAAAAUUGUUUUGAACAAAAGUGCAAGGUCGAGGAACAAAUUUCAAAC